AGCCGCGUGGCGCAUUGGUUAUGCGUUUGGCUUCUCUCUAUGGAGGGCAUAAGUUUGAAUCCUAUCGUGGCUA